AACGAACGCUGGCGGCAUGCCUAACACAUGCAAGUCGAACGAGACCUUCGGGUCUAGUGGCGCACGGGUGCGUAACGCGUGGGAACCUGCCCUUAGGUUCGGAAUAACUCCCCGAAAGGGGUGCUAAUACCGGAUAAUGUCUUCGGACCAAAGAUUUAUCGCCUUUGGAUGGGCCCGCGUUGGAUUAGCUAGUUGGUAGGGUAAAAGCCUACCAAGGCGACGAUCCAUAGCUGGUCUGAGAGGAUGAUCAGCCACACUGGGACUGAGACACGGCCCAGACCCCCCGGGGGGGAGGAAGGGGGGAAAAUGGGACAAGGGGCGAAAGCCUGACCCAGAAAGGCCGGGUGAGUGAUGAAGGCCUUAGGGUUGUAAAGCUUUUUUACCCGGGAUAAUAAGGAAGGACCCGGGAAAAAAAGCCCGGGCAACCUCCGG
rnacentral:rRNA from 1 species